rnacentral:lncRNA from 1 species
AGUUUUUGUCAGAUGUGAUAUUUCACUAACACAUUCUGACAACUUCUGCAUAUGAUACCCCCCUCUAAUAUUUUUAGGUAUCUUUUCAUCUUUUCCUAAAAUACAGAUCAACCACAAAAUAUUUCCCUUCUGCUCUUCUAAAGUUUAAAGAGAGAAACAUAUUUUCAAAAUCUGUUUCAGUUUUCUCUGAAUUGAUGCUUCAUUUCCUUAAAGGGGAUGGGGAAUUCUUAGUUUUCUAACAUACUUAAAAGCAUGUUUUAACAUGUUUACUCCAUGUUAAAACAAUGACAUUGGAAAUGUAAAGAUAUUAGCAGAAUAUUGGCAGCUUAACUUAAUAGGGUUACGGAUUUUUUUGUUUUUAAGUAACUAGACACAUUGUGCAUGAACAUUCCAGGGUUCAUAAACACCAUUUAAGAUUCCUGUCCUUCCUCCUUCCCUGGUUACCUUGUUUCUUGUGUCCCAUCCUUCUUUCCUUCUUUCGGACAGAAAUUUUAUGUAUUGCCAAGGUGGGCCCAUAAUUAAUCUUCCUGCCUUAGUCUCUUUGUAACAGAGAUUAUAAAUGUGUGCUACUGUUUCUCAUUGAGACAGACAUUAUACCCAUGAAAUUAAGCCCAGAGCCUUGAGUGCGUGUUAUAAGAUGGCAAAGAAAUUGGGAAAUACCAAAAGCACGUGUCAACACAUCUACAUACUAACUACAGACAAUCUGCUUUGCCAGAACCUGUUCCUCCCAUUUUUAAAUAAAUGUUAACUGACCAGCAGUUAAAACUAGAAAAUACAGAUAUCGUUGUUGUGAGUAAUAAGAAAAUAUCGUAGUGGAAUAAGAAAUGUGAUCACAGAAAAUCAGGCUGAAAUUUUAAGAGAAUUCCAUAGAUAGACCUUUCCUCUGAGUUGCCAUGUCUUUUGUUAGUGAUAAGAAAAUCAGUAGUUAUAGCUCACAAGCAUCUCUGCCUUACUGGAAGGACAUGACUGGCAAACAUCAAGGUGGAGUAUAUCCUAGGCAGAUUUAGAGCACACGAGGGUUUUAGAUUUGGCUGUGUUUAAAUGUGCCCUAUCAUGCCAAAGGACAAGUACAUAAUUGGAAAAUAAGCAUUGGUAAAGGUAUGUGGAGAGAGAGGGAGAGGGAGAGGGAGAGGGAGAGGGAGAGGGAGAGGGAGAGGGAGAGGGAGAGGGAGAGGGAGAGGGAGGAGAGGGAGAGAGACCACAGUAAAAUGCAAUAAAAGCAAUAAAACACAAUAAAAGCAAUUAAAAACCUUCCUACCAAUUGCGUGAAGGCCAAUCUUAAUGACUACACACACAGUGAUGAAAGUGGCCAGAUAUAUAUAUGUACCUGAAAAGUCAGAACUCCAAGGUGUCCUAAACAUACAACAAUCAUUUUUGCACUAGCAGAUCAAAGAUGGUAAAGCUUCUCCAUUCCUGGCUCAAACUGUGUGUGAGUGUGUGUCUCUGUGUGUGUGUGUGUUGGCAUGAAACUAGGUAUUUCCUAAGAUUAUUUGUACAAUUAAAAGUAUUAGAGAACAUUUUUACGUUACACCGAGAGUUGCUCAAGCAGAUGAGGUAAUGCCUUCUUCUACCUCUCUCCUUCCUAAGCAAUAAUCUUUGAGGUUUCUAAGUGGGUUAAAUGGCAAUUUUUAUGGGUUGAAAUAUUGUCUUUUCUAGUUUUAUGGCCAGAGCAAAACAGGGCUUGUCUGGAAUGCAUAUAAUAUUGCACACGGGGUUAAUUAGGUUAGGAUGAAUUAAUUUGUAACAAUUUCCGUUAUUUGACAGGCAUCAAUAAUGCAGUAUAUUACUUGCAUUCCAGACAUCAGCCUUCUGCCCUGACCCAGUCAGGUUCAAUUUGGGAGAGCCUUGGAUCCUAUGAAUAUUUUUAUUAUUGAUUUUGUAUAACGCAUUUUACAAUCAGACUUGGCCAUAAAAGACUAUAGUAACGUGAAGAGGUACUCUAUACAGCCUUCCUGUUGGUGAUGGGAGAUCCUCAUUUCCAUAGUGAAAAGAAAAUUUACUACUCUCUUCCUGAGAUGGAAAUUUGAGGCAUUAUUUUGAUCACUAUUAACAGCUAUGAAGGAAGUUCCUUUCUAAGCAACUUUCCAUCUUUUGAAAUGAUCUUUUUUUUUUUUUGCUAUUGUUGAGAAAGUAUAUAUUACAAUUAUUUGAGUAGUUUGUCUUAUUGUCUUUCAGACACUGUGUCAAACCACUUUUACCGGGUACAUUUGAUCUUUCAUGGAAAUCUUUUAUGUACCAAACCUCCGUUUGUUUCAUACAAUGAUCUUAUAGACUCCAAGAUUCUUGAAAAAAAAAAUCAGACAUCAAGCCAUUUUUCAUCACCAAGAUUAUCCUCGUGGUCCCUAAGUAACUACACAGGGGCAGCAUUCUGAUUUUGCACAGGCAAAGUAGAAUUAACUACAAUGUGUCAAAGUAAUAAUAACCCAAAGCAAAACAAACAACAAAAAAUGUGCCACAUGUUCACUGUGGCUAGAAAGAUAAAUCACAAGAUAAUGUUAAUUAUCAGUCAUUUUAUUGUGUCUGUAUUUUAAUUACUCUCAUGCUAUAUACAAACAAUUGUAUUGUGUAAAUUUUAUGUGUCAAUUCUGCAAAAUCAGGGUUGCAUGGUGUCCAAGGCCAGGGAAAUGACAAGGCAACUGAUAUUUUACUGGAUAUAAAUAAUACUAAUGACAUCUAAUACCUAUAGAUCUCACUAAAUACCUCUUGCUUUUCUUUCUCAGUAUCAUUGGUUCUUACUCUAGUUUCUAAAAUAUUGGAGAUUUCCAGAACUUUUGCUAGUAUAUAUCCUUUAUCAUAAGGUAAUUACGGGAAGAAUGAGGACAGAAGAAGGCAGAGGUUGAGGAGGAGGCUGGUGUUGUGCCACGUACACUAGGCAAUUAAGCACACAUUAUCUGUACAGAUGGAUGGAGAGGAGUUAGUCUGUUUCACUCACUAUUACUAAUACUUUGGUGUUAGCAUCUUUAAUACAGAAUCAUAUAUAAAACCAGAUUCAUUUUUCUCAAUGCAUUAUCAGUGUUACAACAUGAGCCACAGUGGGAGGAGGUGACAAUACAACAUUCAUGGCAAGAGGGUUAGAUUUCUUUUUCUUUUUCUUUUUUAUUAGAUAUUUUCUUUAUUAACAUUUCAAAUGCUAUCCCGCAAGUUCCCUAUACCCUCGCCCCACCCUGCUCCCCUACCCACCCACUCCUACUUCUUGGCCCUGGCGUUCCCCUGUACUGGGGUAUAUAAAGUUUGCAAGACCAAGGGGCUUCUCUUCCCAGUGAUGGCCGACUAGGCCAUCUUCUGCUACAUAUGCAGAGGGUUAGAUUUCAACAUAGAAGCAUUGUGAUGGAUGCCCUAGCAAGGAAAGGAUGAAGAGAAAAAGGAAGCUAAAAAACUUAGAUGCCACGGACCGGGACCAGUCGGCCCCCCUCAAUCCGUGGGAAUCAGGGGUUCUGGCAGAUGGGCAUAGAGUCAGCAGGAAUUGGGGUGACAAACAGACUCAACACAAGGGAGUAUGGAUCUGAAUGUUAUUUGUCAAAUUGAGCAUCAAACUUUUUAUACAGAAGAAAAUAGGGAAGUUAGGUGACACAUCAGCAAGGUACAAUGAGGUUACCGAAUUCUUACACAAAACAGAGGAAUGCAAACAAGGAAGGACUGGCAGAAACCAACUGGGAUAAGAUUCAAUGUUAACAAUUGGGAUCAAAAACAGCUCCGCCUAAGGUCCUUUUAAUCUUAGAAGUCAGGGCCCAGGGCUUCUUGCCCUUGCCAUAGUUCCUAUUCUAGUCUAUUGUAUAGUCCACCUUCCCCCUAGGCCAUUGUAAAUACUUGUGUAUGGGUGUAACUCAGCUAUCUAUAGUUCUGAGUAUCUACUCUAGUUCUCCUUAGGUCACAAACUUCCUUCUUCCUAGAUAAUGGUAAAUUCCUGUGUAGGGCAGUGACUUAGCUAUUUAUGCCCAGGGCGGAUCAAAGACUGCCUAGAAUCUAACUUAGCUAUAUAUCAAUUAGAGGCACUUAUAAUAAAGCAAUACUGAGGAAAAGCACACAGAUCCAUUUACCAAUGAAAGCAAGGACAUUGGAGCAUUCAUUAUACAGGAUGCCACAAUUCCAGGAGACUAAGUUUCCAUGAACUUUUUGCCUUAGGACAGUGCCCAGGUUUUCAGGGCCUGGCGCCCUUGUCACUACUGGAGUGGAUGUAGCACUUAGACAACACCCAUCAAACCCCAUUCAGAUGAGGACUGGUUCCCAAGACAAAACAUCCUUGGGAAUAGACUUACCUUUUAUGCAAUAACCAUAGUCUCAGAUUGGUACAAGCAGUGUACCAAGUUAAAGUGGCCUUUGGCUUUCGGAAGUCCAAAUUACCAGCCACAUGCUAUAACUGAGGACUUGAGCAGUUUUUCAUUUCAGUCUAAAUGUUAAUAUCUUCAUUCCAAUCUGCCCUCUGUAAGUACUUAGAUAAAUUUAAAAUAUUCUGAGGAUUGUCUUGACAAAAUAAUAUUACAUAUUAUAGAGAUACUAUAUACCAAAUACUAUAUAUCUUUAUUUGUGAGACAAUUUUUCUAGGAUUAUAGUAAACAUAUGUAAGCAACUGAUAUGUUCAAAAGAGUGAGAAUUCUGAACACGGGAAAAUUUCAAAUAUUAAAAUAAAUCUCUAAUGCUAAACAUUCUUUUAUAGUAAGUAUUAGAUUAGCAGCCUCGUUAGUAAUAGCUAGAAGAAAGAAGACCAUUUAUACACAUAAGCAGAAAAUGAUCAGACAGUGGGUAGAGCAGAUGAAAGCACCAACUCUCUGCCAUUAUCUUUUCGUGACACCCAUGCCAUUCACUUGAGCUGUUACAGCAGCGUCCUGCUGGACUCCAGCUGUGGUCAGAAUGGUGUUCAUCUCAUGCUAUUCCCUGGUGUCCCCAAAGGUGUUUAAUUUUCGAGUUAGAGUUGACACAAAGGAAUAGAAUUUGCACUAAUAAAAAGAGGAGCUUGAAAUAAGAAAGUGAGGUGACUAUGGAGACAUUAUCUUUGCUUGAGAGGAAACAUAUCCUCCUUUUAAUCACUGAGCCAUCUUCUGUUGUCUUCAAAUCCUGGGAGACAUGCUAAAUAGAGGUGAUUGUCUGUUAAUUAUCUGAUGUGGGAUUUUUUUUUAAAUCAACCUUGUUAGGUGUUAAAACUUCAGGGCACCAUAGCAAGUGUUCUCCUUCUUACAUAAACUUCAUUAUGUACCAAUUUAGUAUAGAGAAUAG